rnacentral:misc_RNA from 1 species
AAAAAAAUGCUUACAAUGACAAGGGUCCUGAUUCAUUUAGGAGUGCAUAAAUGUGGUAUUUACAUAAGUAGUUAAUUGCAGGCCCUGGUUGCAAGGAGAAGAGAUGGUCAAGUUUCUCCUAAUUUGCAGAGAAUAGCCAACUUUUCAUCAUAGCAUGUCCUAUUCUCUAAGUAUAAUAUAUAAUCCUCUAUGUUUUAUUACUAUGAUAUCCCACAAAUCAGAAAAUCUGAAAUUCUGGAUAGAUAGGGUUGCUGCCAUUG